rnacentral:misc_RNA from 1 species
GAUGAAGAACGUAGCGAAAUACGAUAAUUAAUGUGAAUUGCAGAAUUCCGUGAAUCAUCGAGUCUUUGAACGCACAUUGCGCCUCAUGACAUUCCGUGAGGCAUGCCCAUCUCAGCGUUAGAAAAUAUUCUCAAAUUUUAGUUUUGUGCUAAAAUUUGGAUCAUGUCAAGGAAGCUAUUACUAUUAUUGUGAUCGCUCUUUGGAAAUUGAUAGGUCUUUGAGUUGCUACUCAUAGAACGUGAUGAAUCUUUCUUCGUUCUAUUGUAAUUCACUCUGGUAGUCCUAAAACUUGUAUGCCUGUGACAUAUCUUGUAAUUUGACCUGAGAUUGGGUAGGGAUACCCGCUGAACUUAAGCAUAUCAAUAAGCGGAGGA